CACGUAGGGACCAAGCGUUGUCCGGAUUCAUUGGGCGUAAAGAGCUCGUAGGCGGUUCAGUAAGUCGGGUGUGAAACCUCCAGGCUCAACCUGGAGACGCCACCCGAUACUGCUGUGACUAGAGUCCAGGUAGGGGAGCGUUGGAAUUCCUGGUGUAGCGGGUGGAAUGCGCAGAUAUCAGGAGGAACACCGAUGGCGAAGGCAGAUCUCUGGGCCGUAACUGACGCUGAGGAGCGAAAGCAUGGGGAGCGAACAGG
rnacentral:rRNA from 1 species